GUCAGGAUUGCCGAGCGGUCUAAGGCGCCAGACUGAAGUUUCAAAAUUUGCUCCGCUAAUGUGCAGCCAAAGGGCGUUCUGGUCCACUAAUAUGGGCGUGGGUUCGAAUCCCACUCCUGACA
rnacentral:tRNA from 1 species